UACGUAGGCAGCGAGCGUUGUUCGGAGUUACUGGGCGUAAAGGGUGUGUAGGCGGUCUUCUAAGUUUGGUGUGAAAUCUCCCGGCUCAACUGGGAGGGUGCGCCGAAAACUGGGAGGCUAGAGUGCGGGAUGGGAGAGUGGAAUUCCUGGUGUAGCGGUGAAAUGCGUAGAUAUCGGGAGGAACACCUGUGGCGAAAGCGGCGCACUGGACCACAACUGACGCUGAGGCGCGAAAGCUAGGGGAGCAAACAGG
rnacentral:rRNA from 1 species